rnacentral:piRNA from 1 species
UCUGGCAAGGUCCUGUGGGCAGUUUCCAGU